rnacentral:rRNA from 1 species
UACGUAGGUGGCAAGCGUUGUUCGGAAUUAUUGGGCGUAAAGGGCGCGUAGGCGGUUUGUUAAGUCAGCUGUGAAAGCCCGGGGCUCAACCCCGGAGGGUCAGCUGAUACUGGCAGGCUAGAGUACGGGAGAGGGAAGUGGAAUUUCAGGUGUAGCGGUGAAAUGCGUAGAUAUCUGAAGGAACAUCAGUGGCGAAAGCGACUUCCUGGACCAAUACUGACGCUCAUGUGCGAAAGCGUGGGGAGCAAACAGG